CAACACUUUAAGUACAUUACAUGACCUUGCAAAGGACAGGUCUAAUCUUUUUAAGAGAGGCACUUUUCCUGCAUUGACCUUCCUCCUGCCCUGCUAUCUUCCAGGGAAAGAAAUGCUGUCUCCCACCCAGCAUCUGAAGUCACAGAACAUCUGGAAACCAUAGGAAGCUCUGCUUACCAGAUGGAAACUGGACAAGAAAGAGAAAUGACCAGAAUUGUCAAGGAGAUGAUGUAUGGGACACAUUCCCUUGGUGAUACUUCUGGUGGUUCCGAAAGACCCUGGCCUAGUGUUGCCCUAACCUAGCAGAGUCCAAGCAUCGGAAAAUGCCAGGAAGUGGUAAGAGAUCCACAGCCAUAGUGGCCACAACCAAACCUGGGAGGUGUUGGGAAAACAUAAUGGCAGCC
rnacentral:lncRNA from 1 species